rnacentral:ncRNA from 1 species
GAGAGAAGUCCAUCCCCGAGGUCGGCGAGCAGUGUGGUCGUCAACAGUGUGGUGUUAAAGGUGUCGUUGCAUGUGCUGAAAUCAGUUCGUAGGCUCCCUUGAUUGGGGCUUCAGAGCGGGUGCAGGACCCAUAACGAACGAUGUUUUGUGCAUGGUGUCGCGGCUCCUAAUCGAGUCGGGUUGCUUGAGACUGCAGCCCAAAGCGGGUGGUAAAUCUCACCCAAGACUAAAUAUUCGUACGAGACCGAUAGCGAACAAGUACCGCGAGGGAAAGUUGAAAAGAACUCUGAAGAGAGAGUUCAACAGGACGUGAAACCGUUGACAGGCAAACGGAUGGAGCUGACGGUGCAAUUUUGACCAAAAUCAGUCGUCGCUGGGUUCGUUGGCGAAUGAAUCUUUUGCAAACUUGUUUGUGUAGAUUAUCUUUCGAUUCGAAUCUACGCACGGUGCACUUUUGGUCGAUCAGCGUCACGAGCAACGUUCGCAAAUGUUUUGCUGCCCGAAAGAUGUGCUGUUUUGUGGGUUUUAACAAACCAGGAAACAAAAAUGCGGGUGUUGUGGAAAUGGGGAAUUUGUGUGAAAGUCUUGCUUUUUUUGGGUUUGCCCGGCCCUUUCCGCCCUUCUCC